ensembl:lncRNA
CUGCUCCAUAGCAACCUGCUGUAUCUGACCUGCUCCUUGGCAACCUGCUAUAUCUGACCUGCUCCAUAUUAAGCUGCUCUAUCUGGCCUGCUCCGUAGCAAGCUGCUAUAUCUGACCGGCUCCAUAGCAACCUGCUAUAUCUGACCUGCUCCAUAGCAACCUGCUUUAUCUGACCUGCUCCAUAGCAACCUGCUAUAUCUGACCUGCUCCAUAGCAACCUGCUAUAUCUCACCUGCUCCAUAUCAAGCUGCUAUAUCUGACCUGCUCCGUAGCAAGCUGCUAUAUCUGACCUGCUCCAUAGCAAGCUGCUACUUCUGACCGGCUCCAUAUCAAGCUGCUAUAUCUGACCUGUUAUGUCUGACCUGCUCCAUAGCAAGCUGCUAUAUCUGACCUGCUAUAUCUGACCUGCUCCAUAGCAACCUGCUAUAUCUGACCUGCUCCAUAGCAACCUGCUAUAUCUGACCUGCUCCGUAGCAAGCUGCUAUAUCUGCACUGAUUGGUGAAGUGAUUUCAUGUCGAGCUAAAUGUAAAAAAAAAAAAAAAAAAGAUUUCAGAGGUUUAAAAAGGAACAGAACGGAACUAUAUUAACCGUAACUGUUUGGGUGUUUGAACCGUUUCUGAACUUUAUUUUGCAGGUCGGAACAGCGGAGCGGAACUUUGCAGGUCGGAACAGCGGAGCGGAACAAAAAAAAUAAUAGUUCUGUUCAGAGCGAAACGAUUCGAUAAAAAAUAAAGGGUUCUGGAUAAAAUGUUUGUUCGCUCGUUAAAUUAGUUUUCAUUUGUCAUCCAAAGACCGAUUAAAAAACACAACGGUCGUUGCCGCACUGAACAUAGUGAAGCCAGUUUUCACAAAGUAGGAAGAAAGGAUAAUGAGUAGGAUGUAACCAUUCUACAUAAAUAUCCCACACACUUCGAUCACUUCGUACUGAGUGGGAUACAAAAACAUGCCAUACAUUAACAUCACCACACUCC